rnacentral:rRNA from 1 species
ACGGGAGGCAGCAGUGGGGAAUAUUGGACAGUGGGGGAAACCCUGAUCCAGCGACGCCGCGUGAGUGAAGAAGUAUUUCGGUAUGUAAAGCUCUAUCAGCAGGGAAGAUAAUGACGGUACCUGACUAAGAAGCCCCGGCUAACUACGUGCCAGCAGCCGCGGUAAUACGUAGGGGGCAAGCGUUAUCCGGAUUUACUGGGUGUAAAGGGAGCGUAGACGGCAAGGCAAGUCUGAUGUGAAAACCCGGGGCUAAACCUCGGGACUGCAUUGGAAAAUGUCUAGCUAGAGUGCAGGAGAGGUAAGUGGAAUUCCUAGUGUAGCGGUGAAAUGCGUAGAAAUUAGGGGGAACACAGUGGCGAAGGCGGCUUACUGGACUGUAACUGACGUCGAGGCUCGAAAGCGUGGGGAGCAAACAGGAUUAGAUACCCUGGUA